GACGAACGCUGGCGGCGUGGAUUAGGCAUGCAAGUCGAACGGUAGGAUACCUUCGGGUAUCUGAGAGUGGCGAACGGGUGAGUAACACGUAGGUGAUCUACCCUCAAGAUUGGGACAACCCAGGGAAACUUGGGCUAAUACCGGAUGAAAGCAGCAGUGAUGUUGUUUGAAAGGUGGCGUAAGCUGCCGUUUGGGGAUGAGCCUGCGCUCUAUUAGUUAGUUGGCGGGGUAAAGGCCCACCAAGGCGAUGAUAGAUAGGCGGCCUUAACGGGUGGUCGCCCACACUGGGAUUUGAGAUACGGCCCAGACUCCUACGGGAGGCAGCAGUCGAGAAUAGGUCUACAAUGGCCAAAGGCUGAUAGUGCGACGCCGCGUGAACGAAGAAGCCCUUGGGGUCGUAAAGUUCUUUUAUAUGUGAGCAGUGCUUUCUAUGUGAACAGCAUGGGGAAGAGAUAUUAGCAUAUGAAUAAGCAACGGCUAACUCCGUGCCAGCA
rnacentral:rRNA from 1 species